rnacentral:lncRNA from 1 species
AAACAAUGAAAAGUAUCAUAAUAGAAACAAAAUUUACUACAAUAAGAAAAGAAAAGAUGUUGAAUUCCGUAAAGAAGAUAUGGUAAUUAUAGAAGAUAAAAACCCUCUAAAUAGAAGAAAAUUGGAUGUCUUGAGAAGAGGACCAUUCCGGGUUAUAAAGAAGAUAUCUUAUGUUAUAUACGAAGUCGGGAACAAUACAAAUAAGAAGACAUAUACUGUACAUAUUGCAAGGAUUCAACCAUUUAUUAUUUAUUUUAUUCAAAGGGGGAUAUAACGGUCAAAAGCAACCGUUAGAAAAAGAGGACAAAAGUUGUAAAAUCAGGGAAAAAGAAGUGAUUGGGAGCACAGAAACAAAGAGGGGUGUAAAGGAGGAGGACGAAUAAAGUUUUUUGAAAUAAUUCAUUGGUGUUGUUGUUACAUAUAUAAAUACAAUACACACUACAAUACAUUAAUCUUAUCCCAUAAGACAAAGCUUAAUAAAGGAAUAAAAAUGAGAAAAAACAAUGAUUAAAAAUUAUAUCAAAUGCUUGUUGUUGAAUUAAUAUCUUAUUAAAAAAAUUUUUUUGUAUACAGGCAUGCCUUGACUUGCAUAAUUGAUUGUUCUGCAAAAUCUUUAUUUAAAUUAAAUCUAUGCAUGUCAAGCAUAUUUUAUAGAGUACUAGUGAAUCACAAAGACGACAAUAAAAAUGUGCUUAUUGUUUAAUAUAACUAAGUCACAUGGUACCAUUUUGGAG